rnacentral:rRNA from 1 species
UGGGGAAUCUUGCGCAAUGCGCGAAAGCGUGACGCAGCAACGCCGCGUGGGGGAAGACGGCCUUCGGGUUGUAAACCCUUUCAGUUGGGACGAAGGUUCGGUCGGUGAAUAGCCGGCAGGACUGACGGUACCUUCAGAAGAAGCCCCGGCUAACUACGUGCCAGCAGCCGCGGUAAUACGUAGGGGGCAAGCGUUGUCCGGAAUCAUUGGGCGUAAAGCGCGUGUAGGCGGCCCGAUAAGUCCGCUGUGAAAGUCCAGGGCUCAACCCUGGGAUGCCAGUGGAUACUGUCGGGCUAGAGUCCGGAAGAGGCGAGUGGAAUUCCUGGUGUAGCGGUGAAAUGCGCAGAUAUCAGGAGGAACACCAAUGGCGAAGGCAGCUCGCUGGGACGGUACUGACGUUGAGACGCGAAAGCGUGGGGAGCAAACAGGAUUAGAUACCCUGGUAGUCCACGCCGUAAACGAUGGGCACCAGGUGUGGGGGUGUCGACUCCCCCGUGCCGACGCUAACGC